UGGCGGCAGGCCUACACAUGCAAGUCGAGCGGUAGAGAGGUGCUUGCACCUCUUGAGAGCGGCGGACGGGUGAGUAAUGCCUAGGAAUCUGCCUGGUAGUGGGGGAUAACGCUCGGAAACGGACGCUAAUACCGCAUACGUCCUACGGGAGAAAGCAGGGGACCUUCGGGCCUUGCGCUAUCAGAUGAGCCUAGGUCGGAUUAGCUAGUUGGUGGGGUAAUGGCUCACCAAGGCGACGAUCCGUAACUGGUCUGAGAGGAUGAUCAGUCACACUGGAACUGAGACACGGUCCAGACUCCUACGGGAGGCAGCAGUGGGGAAUAUUGGACAAUGGGCGAAAGCCUGAUCCAGCCAUGCCGCGUGUGUGAAGAAGGUCUUCGGAUUGUAAAGCACUUUAAGUUGGGAGGAAGGGCAGUUACU
rnacentral:rRNA from 1 species